rnacentral:rRNA from 1 species
ACCAGCUUGCUGGUGUGGAUGAGUGGCGAACGGGUGAGUAAUACGUGAGUAACCUGCCCUUGACUCUGGGAUAAGCCCGGGAAACUGGGUCUAAUACUGGAUGCUACAUGUCACCGCAUGGUGGUGUGUGGAAAGGGUUUACUGGUCUUGGAUGGGCUCACGGCCUAUCAGCUUGUUGGUGAGGUAAUGGCUCACCAAGGCGACGACGGGUAGCCGGCCUGAGAGGGUGACCGGCCACACUGGGACUGAGACACGGCCCAGACUCC